GAAAAAGAAGAAGAAGACGUGAGGGAGACGCGAGGGAGACGCAUAGGUCACCAGAGCUUGACUUUAGCAUCUUGAAUUGGUCCCAUCCUCAGGUUGGUGUGAAGGUGUGGACUCCGCUAUGAAUCAGGUGAGGACCCGGAGGAGGGAGUCCCUCUCUCUGAAGCCCCUUCUGUGUGGGGAACAUGACAGCCAGACCAAAGCUCAGAGGAUCCGUAAGAGACCAGGACCUGAACCCAGCUCUGUGAACAUGAAGCGUACACGAUACACUGUACCCUCUGCUGAUACAAGUUCACAUCAGCAGGGAGGAAAGUCUCCUGAACCCAGAUG